CAGCCGCCGCGGUAAUACGUAGGUGGCAAGCGUUGUCCGGAUUUAUUGGGCGUAAAGCGAGCGCAGGCGGUCAAUUAAGUCUGAUGUGAAAGCCCCCGGCUCAACCGGGGAGGGUCAUUGGAAACUGGUUGACUUGAGUGCAGAAGAGGAGAGUGGAAUUCCAUGUGUAGCGGUGAAAUGCGUAGAUAUAUGGAGGGACACCAGUGGCGAAGGCGACUCUCUGGUCUGUAACUGACGCUGAGGCUCGAAAGCGUGGGUAGCAAACAGGAUUAGAUACCCGUGUAGUCCCUGUCUCUUAUAC
rnacentral:rRNA from 1 species